ACGAACGCUGGCGGCGCGCCUCAUACAUGCAAGUCGAACGUGAAGCUCGGAGCUUGCUCCGGGUGGAAAGUGGCGAACGGGUGAGUAACACGUGAGAAACCUGCCCCGAAGACCGGAAUAACACCGGGAAACCGGUGCUAAUACCGGAUGCCCUCAUUGGAUCGCAUGGUCCGAUGAGGAAAUGGAUUCCGCUUCGGGAUGGUCUCGCGGCCUAUCAGCUUGUUGGCGGGGUAACGGCCCACCAAGGCUUCGACGGGUAGCUGGUCUGAGAGGAUGUCCAGCCACACUGGGACUGAGACACGGCCCAGACUCCUACGGGAGGCAGCAGUAGGGAAUCUUGCACAAUGGACGAAAGUCUGAUGCAGCGACGCCGCGUGCGGGAUGACGGCCUUCGGGUUGUAAACCGCUUUCAGCAGGGACGAUAUUGACGGUACCUGCAGAAGAAGCCCCGGCUAACUACGU
rnacentral:rRNA from 1 species